UGGAGAUAUCUGGAAAGAAGCAGGCACGACGAUUUUGAUUAUAUAUCACGUUCUUCAAAUCAUGAUUUCCAGGAUAAAUUUGUUCCGCUUAGGAAAGAAGAUAGGACUCAACUAUGUCAGGGCCAUGGGAAUGAAAUCGAAGAAGAAGGGCUCAGCUGGAGGGGAUGGAGCCAACCCUGCUCGGCUGGAACCUCCGCCAGAGUUCAUUGCACACAGAGAACAACUGUGGGCCAAACUAAAGAAGGAGCAUGAGGAUUGGGUGGCAGCUCAAACUCCCCAGCCAAUCAAAAUCACUCUACCUGAUGGCAAGGUUGUUGAGGGAGAGUCAUGGAGAACUUCACCGUAUGAUGUUGCCAAGGGAAUCAGCCAGGGUCUUGCAGACAACACUGUGAUAGCUAAAGUAAACGGAGAAUUGUGGGAUCUCGACCGGCCACUGGAGAAGGAUGCAUCUCUGCAGUUACUCAAGUUUGAUGACCCAGAUGGUCAGUAUGUUUUCUGGCACUCCAGUGCUCACAUUCUGGGCGAGGCCAUGGAGUGCCACUAUGGCGGCCAUCUUUGUUACGGCCCACCUGUAGAGAACGGCUUCUACUAUGACAUGUUCCUGGAGGACAGACAAGUAUCCAGCAAUGACUUUCCCUGUCUUGAGGGCGUCGUCAAGCAGGUUGUCAAGGAAAAGCAGCCCUUUGAGAGGCUAGAAAUGAAGAAAGAAGAUCUCCUGAAGAUGUUUGAUUAUAACAAAUUCAAGCAGAGGAUUCUCAAUGAAAGAGUAACCACCCCUACCACCACUGUAUAUAAAUGCGGCCCUUUAAUUGAUUUAUGUCGUGGGCCUCAUGUACGACAUACUGGCAAGGUCAAGGCCAUGAAGAUAACCAAGAAUUCCUCCACCUACUGGGAAGGGAAGGCAGAUGCGGAGUCUCUACAGAGGAUCUACGGCAUCUCGUUCCCCGACAACAAACAGCUGAAGGAGUGGGAACACUUCCAGGCAGAGGCAGCCAAGAGGGACCACCGCAAAAUUGGAAAGGAACAAGAGUUAUUUUUCUUCCAUGAACUGAGCCCUGGAAGCUGUUUCUUUUUACCCAAAGGAGCUUUCAUAUAUAACACACUAGUAGAUUUUAUCAAGUCGGAGUACUUAAAGAGAGGUUUCCAGGAAGUGGUGUCACCCAACAUUUACAACAGCAAGUUAUGGGAGGUGUCUGGUCACUGGCAGCAUUAUGCUGAAAAUAUGUUCUCAUUUGAAGUUGAAAAGGAAACCUUUGCCUUGAAGCCAAUGAACUGCCCUGGCCAUUGUUUGAUGUUCGACCAUCGAAACCGGUCAUGGCGAGAGCUCCCACUCAGAAUGGCAGACUUUGGCGUCCUCCAUCGUAAUGAGUUGUCCGGAGCACUGUCCGGGCUGACCAGAGUGAGGCGGUUCCAGCAGGAUGAUGCCCACAUCUUCUGCAGAUUUGACCAGAUCAAGGAUGAGAUCCAGGGCUGCCUGGAGUUCCUGAAGCAUGUGUAUGGAGUGUUUGGGUUCAGCUUCCAGCUGAAGCUGUCCACCAGGCCGGAGAAGUUCCUUGGAGACAUCGAAGUCUGGAAUGAUGCUGAGAAGCAACUGUCUGAGAGUUUAAGCAAGUUCACUGACAAGUGGGAACUCAACCCUGGUGAUGGCGCCUUCUAUGGUCCCAAGAUCGACAUCACCAUCCUGGACGCCCUCCGUAGAGCCCACCAGUGUGCCACCAUCCAGCUGGACUUCCAGCUGCCGAACAGGUUCAACCUGGGAUACAUCAACGAGCAAGGAGAGAAAGACAAGCCUGUCAUAAUCCACCGUGCCAUCCUUGGAUCUGUGGAGAGAAUGAUUGCCAUCUUGUGUGAGAACUACGGUGGAAAAUGGCCCUUCUGGCUUUCCCCUCGCCAGUCUUGUGUCAUUCCUGUUGCACCUGCCUUCGAUGAAUACGCAAACGAGGUGAGGAGACAGAUUCACUCGGCUGGGUUUGUGUGUGAGACCGAUCUGGACACCGGAGCUACUCUCAACAAGAAAGUCAGGAAUGCUCAGCUGAGCCAGUACAACUUCAUCUUUGUUGUUGGUGAGAAGGAGAAAGAGAACAAGACUGUCAACGUGCGUACCCGAGACAACAAGGUUCACGGUGAACACGGCAUUGACCAUGUGAUCUCAAGGUUCACCCACUUCAAGACCAGCCGAUCCCCCGAUGCUGAGGAGACCUUCUAGACUCCACAAAUACAGCAGCACUGCUCUGUGCCCAAGGCAGAACAGUGACACUGUCCUGUGAACACUUCCAGUGAAUGUGAAAACUCAGAUAUAUUUGUUUCACUUGGGUAAAUUAUUUGCAGAUAACAGUGUUGUGUAAAGGAUAUGAUGUCACAUUGAAAUUAAACUCCAUUCAUGAAUGAUGAAUAGGACUGUAUUCUCUGUGUGAUGGGGACUUCAGGCAGUAAUACUACUGUAGACUUAGGUUCGUGUUUUCGUUCCUAGAUAUAGUUAUCACAAGGUUAUGAAGCACUCUAGUCUUACAUCUUUUGUAGAAAACCUCAUUGCCCAGUUGUAGAGAUAGAUGUGAUUAUUUCCAUAUUGAUCUUAUUUAUUUUCAUGACUCUUGUUCAUCUUUGUUAUUACCGAUACAUACUUUUAUGUAGAAUCGACAUCUACAACUUUUGUCUGGAAUGCAGAACAUUCUGUGAUAUGGAUCUUUCUGUUCAUUACGUUCAUAUCUAAACAUUUAGUUGACAUUUGACAGGUUGAGAACACCAAUAAUUGUACAAAAUAAAUUAUAAAGAUUCAUAAAGAUGUACUUGAAACGAUAUAACAGCUUAUGUUAACACAGGAUAGUACUGAAGUAAUCACAUUCAUGGUAAUUCCGAUAUGACCAUUGUUCCACUGUCAUAUCUUAUCUUCAGCCAGUUUUCUUCUUUGAGCGGAUGAGAUAGCCUAGUGGUUAAGGCCAUGUCACCCAACACCUAGGUUUGAUUCCUUACAUGAGUGGGGAGGUCGGGAACCUAGUGGUUAAGCAUUCGCUCGUCAGACCAGGGUUUGAUUCCCGACAUGGGUACAAUGUGUGAAGCCCUUUUUCUGGUGCCCCCCACCGUGAUAUUGCUGGAAUUUUGCUAAAAGCAACGUAAAACCAUACUCACUCACUAACCUUCCAUGAGUAAAAUGUUUGAAGCCAAUUAUUCGUUUCUCCUCGCCAUGAUAUAGUUUGAAGUAUCACAAAGGUGGCACAAAAUAUUCACUACAAUGCCUGACCAAGACACUUGUUCCACAGUCUUCUGGAUGUAGUUUUUUCUCACGUCAUUGGUCACAUACGGUCACUUUGCCAAAUGAAAGUACAGAGUGAAACAAUAUAUGGCAACCAUUCAACCAGAAUAUUACCUGUAUCACACCUUGACACUUUCAUUUUGUUACAUGACAACCAUGCAUGAAUGCUUGUGAUAUGACUAGGGAAAUUGUGUGUAUUCUUAUCAGUGUGUACGGAGCAUAGCCACAAACGGAGGGCUAUAUGGGAAUCAAUGUGUAUGUGUGCUGUUAAAUUCAGCUAUAUAUGGUAUUACUUUGGAUUUGAAACUGUAGUAGCCGUGGUCAGAUGUUCUGAAGCAUGUAACUAACAGGAGGAACAUUUGGAUUAGCAUCUAGUGUACACUUAACGCUGUAAAGAUCAAGAAUAAUUGUGAGAAAUAUUAGACCCACACCCAGAAUGGGCCAUUUUGUGCAGAGCACAUGAUUCAGAUUCUGUGUACAUACUACAGAUAGAACUCUGCCUCUGAUUGAUUCAUCAAGUAGUUCCUUUGUUUCUUGCAAUAGCGGGUAAGUAGCAUAGUCCAGUGGUUAAAGCGUUCGCUUGUCACGCGGAAGACCUGUUUUCGAUUUCCUGGAUGGGAAUGUGUAAAGCACAUUCCUGGUGUUUUCCACGUUAAUAUUGCUGGAAUAUUGCUGAAAGCAGUGUAAAACCGUACUAAUUGCUAUAGCUGACGCACAAUGUGUGACAGCAGCAAUACGAUGUUAGAAUCGUAUUGUAUCCAACAAUUUCACACAGGCAAGUUGUUUCUUGUACAUUAUGUUUGCUGGGUGAUAAGGGACAAAGGGAAAAGUGAUAACAUGAACUAACAACAGUAGGUGCGAGAUAAACACAGCUCAACCAGUAGGCACGGUGAGCCAGGGCUCUGUUCCUCCAGCACUGUGAGCCAGGGCUCUGUUCCUCCAGCACUGUGUGCCAGGGCUCUGUUCCUCCAGUACUGUGUGCCAGGGCUCUGUUCCUCCAGCUCUGUGAGCCGGGGCUCUGUUCCUCCAGCUCUGUGUGCCAGGGCUCUGUUCCUCCAGCACUGUGUGCCAGGGCUCUGUUCCUCCAGCUCUGUGAGCCGGGGCUCUGUUCCUCCAGCUCUGUGAGCCGGGGCUCUGUUCCUCCAGCACUGUGAGCCAGGGCUCUGUUCCUCCAGCUCUGAGAGCCGGGGCUCUGUUCCUCCAGCUCUGUGUGCCAGGGCUCUGUUCCUCCAGCUCUGUGUGCCAGGGCUCUGUUCCUCCAGCUCUGUGAGCCGGGGCUCUGUUCCUCCAGCUCUGUGUGCCAGGGCUCUGUUCCUCCAGCACGGUGAGCCAGGGCUCUGUUCCUCCAGCACGGUGAGCCGGGGCUCUGUUCCUCCAGCACUGUGAGCCAGGGCUCUGUUCCUCCAGCACGGUGAGCCGGGGCUCUGUUCCUCCAGCACUGUGAGCCGGGGCUCUGUUCCUCCAGCUCUGUGAGCCGGGGCUCUGUUCCUCCAGCACGGUGAGCCGGGGCUCUGUUCCUCCAGCUCUGUGAGCCAGGGCUCUGUUCCUCCAGCUCUGUGUGCCAGGGCUCUGUUCCUCCAGCACGGUGAGCCAGGGCUCUGUUCCUCCAGCACGGUGAGCCAGGGCUCUGUUCCUCCAGCUCUGUGAGCCAGGGCUCUGUUCCUCCAGCACUGUGAGCCAGGGCUCUGUUCCUCCAACACUGUGUAGAACAAACUAUAUAGAUAAAGGAGGGUGGGGGCCUGUGCUAUUCCUUCAAUAUUGUAGUGAGAUGUGGUGAACUCUUUACCAUCUUGCAAUUGGUAUGCUCAAAUAAAAUGUUGUUCUUUAA
rnacentral:misc_RNA from 1 species